AUUGAACGCUGGCGGCAUGCUUUACACAUGCAAGUCGAGCGGCAGCGCGGGGGCAACCCUGGCGGCGAGCGGCGAACGGGUGAGGAAUACAUCGGAACGUACCCCGGAGUGGGGGAUAACGCCGCGAAAGCGGCGCUAAUACCGCAUAUGCUCUGAGGAGGAAAGUGGGGGACCCGCAAGGGCCUCACGCUCUGGGAGCGGCCGAUGUCCGAUUAGCUAGUUGGUGGGGUAAUGGCCCACCAAGGCGACGAUCGGUAGCUGGUCUGAGAGGAUGAUCAGCCACACUGGGACUGAGACACGGCCCAGACUCCUACGGGAGGCAGCAGUGGGGAAUUUUGGACAAUGGGGGCAACCCUGAUCCAGCCAUGCCGCGUGCGGGAAGAAGGCCUUCGGGUUGUAAACCGCUUUUGGUCGGGAAGAAAAGGUUACCCCUAAUAGGGGUGACUCUUGACGGUACCGGCAGAAUAAGCACCGGCUAACUACGUGCCAGCAGCCGCCGUA
rnacentral:rRNA from 1 species